AGAGGCAGAGCUGAGGGAGCACGUUAGAGGGCAUAGGGCUGGUGCUCAGGAAAAAUUCUUUCCACCCCAACUAAUUUCCAUUCACACCAGAAGUCAGCCAGAGCUGCUGGUAACAUGCGCUGCACUUCCCGGGCUCCUGGGAAGUUGCCAGGAUUUGCUUUGAUGUCAAAAGCACAAUGCAGAAAACUUUAAGGAACAACCAAACUUUGCAUCAUCCCAAGACAUGGCUCCAGAUGAAAGAAAAGAUCUGUGCUAUAACAAAGGAUUUCUGGAAAGAUGUGGCCACUCGAGUGUGUUCCCUGCUAAUGGGAUCCCCUGGCAGAGAAGAAUGCAGCCUGCGUUCACCCCAUCAGGGUUUGCUCAGCUUUGGAGGGGUAGGGAGAAGCAGAAAAACAAUUAGGAUGGUCCUGAAGUUCUCUGAGCUUACAGCAGACCCUGAGCGAGUUUCUGCACAGCCCCAGAGCACAAUUCCUUCUGCUCCAGCAGGAAUCGCAUGGCUGAGAUUAAGAUCUUCUGUCUGCUCCAGCCUUUGCAAGGCUUCUGAACACUCACUUCUCGGAGGAGCCAUUGCAGACGUCCAGAGCGUGCCGUAACAACAGAAUUAAAACUGGAGAGUUAUGCAAAAUCCAUCUGUAGUUUAUGGGUGUGAUGCAACGGUCCAGCCUCAAGCAGCUCUUGCACAGGUUUUUGUAGUGGUUGCAAUACCAAGGAAACAACCUUAAGCAAUGUGAGGGGGCCUCAACAGCCCUGUCACCCCUCAGAAAUCAGAAAAGAGGCAUUAGAAAUGCUGUUUUCUUUUAGAAUGCCUUUGCUCUCCAGGUCCAUUUUUAAUGGUUUAAACUUAAAAGGCCAACUAAUUCUUUAGUUUAGAUUUCUUAUGUCCAGCUGAAGCCUGCGGCAGCUUCUCUGGCUGAUCGCACAGGCAGUUUUGCAAAAGAACAAAAUUUUGCUCAUGCUAAGCAAGACUUUGUCAACAGGAUGCCCACCUGUGGUCUUGUUUCAGUCCUUUACAGCUCCAAAUAACAAGCCAGUCUUUCUGAGUGAUCCCCAUUAACACGCUGUCAUUACCAGCGUACACUUUUCAUUUCCUCCUCAGUCAGCAUCCCAGCUUGGAAGAUUUUAUCAGACAAUAAUUUCACAUAUCAAAGCAAAACAAAGGAAUGAAGGCAAAGCCCGCUGGCUUCAGCAUAGGUAGCAAAGACAGGGGCAGCCUGAACGGGGAGAAAUCUGCUUCACAAUUUGGUGGUACGGUGCAGUAAACUGGUGUAAAAUAAACAGCGUCUAUUUAUAGCGGAGUGGAGCCUGCCUGCAGGCAUUGCAGCUGUUUUGUUGUUGUUGUGUUUUGUUUUUUUUUCUCUCUUUGCUCUGGAUGAAUGAGGGUUUUUCAAUGAGGAUCCAGGUUUCCCGAAGCAAAAUCCACCCCACCUCUUGGCACAAACCUCCAGACAGUCCAUAUGUCAUGAGCAAAAUAUGCAGCGCCCUAAAAACCGGAGCGGAGUCUCGCCCGAGUAGGAUCAGUUCUUGAAGGGAGACCCAUGGGUGCUGGGCACCAAGGGCAGCCCUAGUGCAAGGAUUUGGGGAAAACACCCAGGUGGUUCCCACCAGUGAGCCCCUGUCCCCCCAUGGGAGCUGGGGAGCAAGCAGGGACCUCUCGGCAUCCCCCAAGACAUCCCAAGCAGCCAUGGGGUGAGCGGCUUGGCCUGAGCUUUUAGUGCCCCAAAACUGAGCCCAGCUCUCAUAGCUCUGAGUUUACAUGCUCAGACGCACACACACUCAAGCAAGAUGUUUUCCAUGCCUCCACGGCUCCCAUCGGAUGUGGGUGGUCCCGGCGAGAGGAAUGCGAGCGAUCGGAUUCACGUAUCAUCUCGCUGCCGCUCAGCGCCGGAGACCUCCGGGGAUUUGUUCUGUAGGCGAUUGACCCGGCGAGCAUCCGAGCUCCGGCGCGUUUUCCAGACACCUCUGAUCACAACCACAAAGAAGAAAUUGAUUUAUCCCAAAGUAAACAUCCCUAAAAUGACAGAAGGGUGUGGAGUUUUUUUUUGCCACCCCCACAAUAGCAAAAAAGGCGGAAAGAAUAAAGUGUCUGUAAACCCCCCGGUGCCUCACCACGACACAGAUUUACAUCUCUGAGUCAGAUCUUUGCAGCUCCCUGCAUAUGGUCUGCAUGAUAUGCAGUUCCUGGCUAGUGACUCACCCAACACCAAUAUAAAGAAAUUGUUUCAGACCGAGCAAGCAAACAACCCGAAUUUUGCCGUCUCAAGCUCCACGGCCGCAGGGACGCAGCCCGACCUGGCCCAGCCCGACUCGGCUCUCGUUUGCGUGAUUCGGGAGCAACUCCACCAGAGUCCUGUCACAUUUUUAAAAGCUUCUUAAAAUUGCCUUUCUGUCUGAUUUUUGCUGUGGUCAAAAAUAACGUCUCAGAUUACCAAAAUGGAAAGGGAUAAGAAGAACGGUUUUAUCUCUUUCUUUCCAGUUUGUUUACUCGGUUCAUUCGAUAUCACUUUGCGACCAGGGUAUUUGGUUUCAGUGUUUCCACUGUGCGGUCAUUUAGGUAGUUUCCUUUUGUUCUUCAUGUGGGUCUUUUCUUUCAUAAUGAUGUAAAGAGAAUGAGAGGAAAAAACCUUUUGAAAUAUGAUGGUUAAAGGCACAAAAACUGGCAGGUGGACUCACACGUGUCAACUCAUAGAAACCAAAUCCAAUCAGCUACUCAUUGAUAAAAGAAGAAUUUACUGUGGAAUUGAUUAAAUUUCCAAUGGACCUUAUGUCAGAUGAGCUCACACUGAGAUCCAUGGUGUCAAGUUUGUGUGACAUUUAGUUUGCUUUUUUAUUUUUUUGGUAGUUUUUAAUUUUUUAAAUUGCUUUAAAUACAUGCAGCAACAAUUCAGCUGCCAUUAUAGAUGAAAAAAAAAACAUAGUAGGAAAAGCUGCUGAAAUUACAUCAACUAGAAUUUUUCACAAAGAUGAUUAUUAGCAGCUGUGGUUCUCUGGGCUGAGUUGGGUUCCCAGAACUUUUCCCUCUGUACAUUCAGAAUUCAGAAACUGGAAAUAAUUCUCCUCUGGAACCAAGCAAACAGACUUAAAACAUCUCAAGAAUCCCAGAAUUUAGUCAAAGGGCUAUCUAUCUUUAACCACCCUUCAUUUUGUUAAAAAUAGUAAUAUGAAAUCUAAAGCCAUUUAAUUAAUUGGAAAUCAUUACGCUUAAGCAUGUACAAAAGAAUAAUCAAAAGGGAUACUAGAGCCAUUAAAUAAUCAAAUUGCAAUACUAUUAACUAAGCAAUUAGUAUGUGCAAUAAAUGGCUAGACUGUGUUAAUGAGAGGAUAAGAACACUUCUAUUCCCUUCCCAGGAUAUCUCCUACACGUACAACAUCUUCUAUCCAGCCCCAAGUACCAACAUUUCUGUUCUCAGCAGUCCUUCACCUAGUAAAGGCUUCCAGAAAGUUCCCCAGAAUUUUGACUGAGGAGGAAAUCAGGAUCCUUUUUUCCUUAGAAUAUUCAGAGAUGAAGCACUGCCAUGUUCCCUGGAGGUAUAGCUGAUGAUUUCUGCAUUCAAGUCCCAAGCCAUUGACUAGUACUGAAGAAUGAAGCAGCUCAGAACAUACUCACCUGAUGGCUCUUCCAUAGCCACGUGUAGGAAAAUACGGAGUGACAACAGGCACUGACAUAAGCAAGUGUGGUAGAUCAGGUGAAUAAAAGAACAGGGAAAAAAAAAAAAAAAGAAGAAAACAAAAAAACCACAAGGUUAUUUUGACCAUAAAUAAGGUCUGCAGAACAAUUUAUGGCUGUGUUGAGAAAAGGAUGCUACAAAUGGUACCCAGGCGAUACAGUCCUGAAAUCUCCUGCGAUGUGUUACCACUGUAUCACCUGGAGCUGCAGCAGGGCCUCACCUGUACAGACAGGUAACCUGCAGAGCCCCAGGACCAGGAAAAUAAAAUUUAGAGAGUAUGAACAAGGGCAGAAAAAGUGUCUUGGCCAAGCUUGCCCAACUUGUCAAAAGCAAGCUCAGAAGUAAAGCCUAGGACUUUGAAAUCCUUCUCUGGAGAUGGUUCCUUGGACACACUGAUUCCAUGUAAGCAACCCCACAGACAGAGGAUAAACAACAAUUUUUCUUAUUAAAGAACCCAGACCCCUCAAUUAUGAGGGCACAGCUGCCACUGUAUCAGGCUAAACAAACAAAAAAGCCCCCAGAAAAAGAGGAAAACAUCCCAACUCCUUUUACAAGUUAUUUCCCAAUCAUGCCUGCUUGCAGUCUACCACCCCGGCUCUGGAAAAGCUAACCCAGGCUAUGCACAUUCCUGGGAGCGGAUCCCACCAGACAAGGUAACACUUUAAUUAGACAGUACCAAGGCAACUGUUUACAAGUCUCUUCCAAAUGCCUCCCUUGUGUUUGCACCCUCCUACUACAAUGGCAAUAUUUAGUAGAAAUGUCCUAGGUAUGAUUCUCCUGGGGCUUAUUCAAAUGUCAGUCAGCUCAACAUAAGUACACUGUGAAAAUGGAUGAAAACAAAAGAGGAUGAGUUUCUGUCUUUCUUGGGAAGCAGCGUGUUUGUCAGGAGAAGGUUUUGGAUGCAUCAGUGACUGUUGGGCAGUCAGGGUUGCCAGAAAUAAAACAUGAGCCCACUGUGCAAAAGGCUGCCCUGGAGCCUGUAGGUCAUUGCCCAGGUCAUAUUCACAGCAAAAGUUCAUCUGAUGGUAGAGCCUGUGGCUCUGGUGGGACAGAAACCCCCACAUCCAUGUGCCACUAGUGCCUUCCGAAAUGAACAGCAGCUCCCCAUGGGGUACCUUGCCUGCUCAGCUGUAACACAACAUACGGAGAGGAUGGGAAAACACAACCAUCCUCAUUGAUAUUUCCCCUGCAGCCAUAAUGUUGUGGUGUUUCCUGCUCUUGGAGGAGAAAUGGGUUCUGCUGAGCUGGGGUUGAAAUGAAUCACAGAAUCACAGAAUGGUUUGGGUUGGAAGGGACCUCUGGAGAUCAUCUUGUCCAACCCACCUGCUAAAGCAGGUUCACCAGAGCAGAUCGCACAGGAGUGUGUGCAGGAGGGUUUUGAACAUCUCCAGAGGAGACUCCACACCCACUCUGGGCAGCCUCUUCCAGGGCUCUGGCACCUCCAAGUAAAGAAGUUUCUCAUGUUCAGAUGGAACUUCCUGUGUUUCAGUCUGCGCCUGUUGCCCCUCAUCCUGUCAUUGGGCAUCACUGAAAGGAGUCUGGUCCAUCCUCUGACACCCAUCCUUCAGAUAUUUAUAAACAUCUAUGAGAUCCCUCUCAGCUUCUCUCUCCAGGCUGAAAGACCCAGCUCUCUCAGUCUCUCCUCUUAAGAAAGAUGCUCCAGACCGCUCAGCAUCCUCAUGAAGCAGCAGAUCUGAUGGCUGAGCUGCUGGGGGACACCGCGAGUACUCCUGUCACUGCACAUCCUGGCAAGGAGGAGUCGGCCAGGGAUGGAGAGACAUAAACAUUGUGCUGCAGGAGGUUCAGAGUUAUGAUAGAUGAGGUUCUGCUGUGGCCAUCUGCAAUAUUGUCCUUUUUAUCCACCUCACACCAUACGCUCUUGGCAAAAUAGCUACAACAUAAAGGAAUCACUUCACUUGCAUUGAAAUGCAGCUGCGUUAGACUACUCAGCUGUAAUCAAUGAAAGAAAAAUACUUGGUGCUUUUUGAGCUGUGAGGGGAAUUUACAGAGGCAUAAUGAAAUUAUUCAGUGCAAAUUCAGCUGGGCUGCAAGAAUGUGUAAAACCUUCCCCUUCAUAAUAGUGAAGAAGAACUUUACCCAGAAGUUACUUUGGUUUUCUGCAAUCACCAGAUGAAAAAUGACACAAAAAGGUCACAGAUAUUUCUCAGCUGAUAUGAUUGGGUCUGACUCAGAGCAGUGGAAAUUACAGGAUAUUGUCUUGGAGGGCUCUUGUGAGUUAAUAAAAAGUUUCCUGGAAUGAUUUACAAAUCUGGAUUGCACAAAGGAAUACAAUGAAGGGAAACGGGGAAACUCAGGUUACACAAAGCGCUGCAGAGCAUUUGCGAAAGUCAUUUUCUAACAGUUAUGAGUAAAGAGUCAAGCUCUAUGAGUUUCUGGGAUUUCAUACACUGCUAAGUACUUAUUUGCCUUAGUAUUCAACAUCUCAGUUACUAACAUAAGUAGUUUCACUUUUUUUUUUUUUUU